rnacentral:rRNA from 1 species
AGAAUCAACGCUGGCGGCGCGCUUAACACAUGCAAGUCGCACGAGAAAGGGAGCAAUCCUAAGUAAAGUGGCGCACGGGUGAGUAACACGUGGAUUAUCUACCUUUUAGUGGGGAAUACCUCUGGGAAACCGGAGACAAUACCGCAUAAGCCUGUAAAGGGAAAGCAGCAAUGCGCUGAAAGAGGAGUCCGCGGCCGAUUAGCUAGUUGGCGGGGUAACGGCCCACCAAGGCGAAGAUCGGUA